rnacentral:tmRNA from 1 species
GGGGGUGAUUGGUUUCGACAGCGGAUGUCGAGUGAGGGGAAGCGUGUCGAGGAAGGCGACGAUGAUCUCGUAAACCAAUAAUGUCGCAAAAAAUCAAGCGCCGACAAUAGUCAGCGCGAAUUCGCCCUAGCCGCCUGAGCUAGCUGCGAUUCCGUCAGCCUGGGCAGGCCUCCAGCCCAGUACCUGGCGUCGACUAGGAGGAUUACCACCCGCAUCGGUUACGGAUGUUGAUGGGAAAUCAAACAGUAACUGGGCCCGUCACAUUGGCUAGUUUGCAAGAUCAAUGGGGUCAAGUAGAGACGUAGCAAACUACACACGUAGAAGACCUCACAAAGCAACGUUGGACCCGGGUUCGAUUCCCGGCACCUCCACUA